ACAUGUGGGUAUCUACCCUUUGGCCUGGAAUAACACGAGGAAACUUGUGCUAAUACCGGAUAAGUCUUUACGGAGAAAGCUUUAUGCACCAUUGGAUGAGCCCGCACUUGAUUAGUUUGUUGGUAGGGUAAUGGCCUACCAAGACUAUGAUCAAUAGCUGAUUUGAGAGGAUGAUCAGCCACAUUGGGACUGAGACACGGCCCAAACUCCUACGGGAGGCAGCAGUGGGGAAUCUUGCACAAUGGAGGAAACUCUGAUGCAGCGAUGCCGCGUGAGUGAAGAAGGCCUUUGGGUUGUAAAGCUCUUUCGUCGGGGAAGAAAAUGACUGUACCCGAAUAAGAAGGUCCGGCUAACUUCGUGCCAGCAGCCGCGGUAAUACGAAGGGACCUAGCGUAGUUCGGAAUUACUGGGCUUAAAGAGUUCGUAGGUGGUUGAAAAAGUUGGUGGUGAAAUCCCAGAGCUUAACUCUGGAACUGCCAUCAAAACUUUUCAGCUAGAGUAUGAUAGAGGAAAGCAGAAUUUCUAGUGUAGAGGUGAAAUUCGUAGAUAUUAGAAAGAAUACCAAUUGCGAAGGCAGCUUUCUGGAUCAUUACUGACACUGAGGAACGAAAGCAUGGGUAGCGAAGAGGAUUAGAUACCCUCGUAGUCCAUGCCGUAAACGAUGUGUGUUAGACGUUGGAAAUUUAUUUUCAGUGUCGCAGGGAAACCGAUAAACACACCGCCUGGGGAGUACGACCGCAAGGUUAAAACUCAAAUGAAUUGACGGGGACCCGCACAAGUAGUGGAGCAUGUGGUUUAAUUCGAAGAUACGCGCAGAACCUUACCAACACUUGACAUGUUCGUCGCGACUCUAAGAGAUUAGAGUUUUCGGUUCGGCCGGACGAAACACAGGUGCUGCAUGGCUGUCGUCAGCUCGUGUCGUGAGAUGUUGGGUUAAGUCCCGCAACGAGCGCAACCCUCACUUUUAGUUGCCAUCAUUAAGUUGGGCACUCUGAAAGAACUGCCAGUGAUAAGCUGGAGGAAGGUGGGGAUGACGUCAAGUCCUCAUGGCCCUUACGGGUUGGGCUACACACGUGCUACAAUGGCAUCUACAACAGGAAGCAAAACGGCAACGUUAAGCAAAUCCCGAAAAGAUGCCUCAGUUCGGAUUGCACUCUGCAACUCGAGUGCAUGAAGCUGGAAUUACUAGUAAUCGUGGAUCAGCGUGCCACGGUGAAUGCGUUCCCGGGUCUUGUACACACCGCCCGUCACACCAUGGGAGUUGGUUCUACCUUAAGGCAAGGUUUCAAACCCUUGACCACGGUAUAGUCAGCGACUGGGGUGAAGUCGUAACAAGGUAGCCGUAGGGGAACCUGCGGCUG
rnacentral:rRNA from 1 species